CUGAAUACAUAGGUUAACGAGGCGAACCGGGGGAACUGAAACAUCUAAGUACCCCGAGGAAAAGAAAUCAACCGAGAUUCCCCCAGUAGCGGCGAGCGAACGGGGAACAGCCCAGAGCCUGAAUCAGCUUGUGUGUCAGUGGAACGGUCUGGAAAGGCCGGCGAUACAGGGUGACAGCCCCGUACACGAAGGCACACAGGCUGUGAGCUCGAUGAGUAGGGCGGGACACGUGAUAUCCUGUCUGAAGAUGGGGGGACCAUCCUCCAAGGCUAAAUACUCCUGACUGACCGAUAGUGAACCAGUACCGUGAGGGAAAGGCGAAAAGAACCCCGGCGAGGGGAGUGAAACAGAACCUGAAACCGUGUACGUACAAGCAGUGGGAGCCUUCGUAAGAGGGUGACUGCGUACCUUUUGUAUAAUGGGUCAGCGACUUAUAUUCUGUAGCAAGGUUAACCGUAUAGGGGAGCCGAAGGGAAACCGAGUCUUAACCGGGCGUUAAGUUGCAGGGUAUAGACCCGAAACCCGGUGAUCUAGCCAUGGGCAGGUUGAAGGUUGGGUAACACUAACUGGAGGACCGAACCGACUAAUGUUGAAAAAUUAGCGGAUGACCUGUGGCUGGGGGUGAAAGGCCAAUCAAACCGGGAGAUAGCUGGUUCUCCCCGAAAGCUAUUUAGGUAGCGCCUCGUGAACUCAUCUCCGGGGGUAGAGCACUGUUUCGGCUAGGGGGCCAUCCCGGCUUACCAACCCGAUGCAAACUGCGAAUACCGGAGAAUGUUAUCACGGGAGACACACGGCGGGUGCUAACGUCCGUCGUGAAGAGGGAAACAACCCAGACCGCCAGCUAAGGUCCCAAAGUCAUGGUUAAGUGGGAAACGAUGUGGGAAGGCCCAGACAGCCAGGAUGUUGGCUUAGAAGCAGCCAUCAUUUAAAGAAAGCGUAAUAGCUCACUGGUCGAGUCGGCCUGCGCGGAAGAUGUAACGGGGCUAAACCAUGCACCGAAGCUGCGGCAGCGACGCUUAGGCGUUGUUGGGUAGGGGAGCGUUCUGUAAGCCUGUGAAGGUGUGCUGUGAGGCAUGCUGGAGGUAUCAGAAGUGCGAAUGCUGACAUAAGUAACGAUAAAGCGGGUGAAAAGCCCGCUCGCCGGAAGACCAAGGGUUCCUGUCCAACGUUAAUCGGGGCAGGGUGAGUCGACCCCUAAGGCGAGGCCGAAAGGCGUAGUCGAUGGGAAACAGGUUAAUAUUCCUGUACUUGGUGUUACUGCGAAGGGGGGACGGAGAAGGCUAUGUCAGCCGGGCGACGGUCGUCCCGGUUUAAGCGUGUAGGCUGACUUUCCAGGCAAAUCCGGAAAGUUAAGGCUGAGGCGUGAUGACGAGGCACCACGGUGCUGAAGUGACAAAUGCCCUGCUUCCAGGAAAAGCCUCUAAGCAUCAGGUAACAUUAAAUCGUACCCCAAACCGACACAGGUGGUCAGGUAGAGAAUACCAAGGCGCUUGAGAGAACUCGGGUGAAGGAACUAGGCAAAAUGGUGCCGUAACUUCGGGAGAAGGCACGCUGACAUGUAGGUGAAGCCCCUGCGGGUGGAGCUGAAGUCAGUCGAAGAUACCAGCUGGCUGCAACUGUUUAUUAAAAACACAGCACUGUGCAAACACGAAAGUGGACGUAUACGGUGUGACGCCUGCCCGGUGCCGGAAGGUUAAUUGAUGGGGUUAUCGCAAGAGAAGCUCCUGAUCGAAGCCCCGGUAAACGGCGGCCGUAACUAUAACGGUCCUAAGGUAGCGAAAUUCCUUGUCGGGUAAGUUCCGACCUGCACGAAUGGCGUAAUGAUGGCCAGGCUGUCUCCACCCGAGACUCAGUGAAAUUGAACUCGCUGUGAAGAUGCAGUGUACCCGCGGCAAGACGGAAAGACCCCGUGAACCUUUACUACAGCUUGACACUGAACAUUGAGCCUUGAUGUGUAGGAUAGGUGGGAGGCUUUGAAGCGUGGACGCCAGUCUGCGUGGAGCCAACCUUGAAAUACCACCCUUUAAUGUUUGAUGUUCUAACCUGGCGCCGUGAUCCGGCGUGGGGACAGUGUCUGGUGGGUAGUUUGACUGGGGCGGUCUCCUCCCAAAGUGUAACGGAGGAGCACGAAGGUCAGCUAAUCCUGGUCGGACAUCAGGAGGUUAGUGCAAUGGCAUAAGCUGGCUUGACUGCGAGAGUGACGGCUCGAGCAGGUGCGAAAGCAGGUCAUAGUGAUCCGGUGGUUCUGUAUGGAAGGGCCAUCGCUCAACGGAUAAAAGGUACUCCGGGGAUAACAGGCUGAUACCGCCCAAGAGUUCAUAUCGACGGCGGUGUUUGGCACCUCGAUGUCGGCUCAUCACAUCCUGGGGCUGAAGUAGGUCCCAAGGGUAUGGCUGUUCGCCAUUUAAAGUGGUACGCGAGCUGGGUUUAGAACGUCGUGAGACAGUUCGGUCCCUAUCUGCCGUGGGCGCUGGAGAAUUGAGGGGGGCUGCUCCCAGUACGAGAGGACCGGAGUGGACGCAUCACUGGUGUUCGGGUUGUCAUGCCAAUGGCACUGCCCGGUAGCUAAAUGCGGAAGAGAUAAGUGCUGAAAGCAUCUAAGCACGAAACUUGCCCCGAGAUGAGUUCUCCCUGAGACUAUAAGUCUCCUGAAGGAACGUUGAAGACGACGACGUUGAUAGGCCGGGUGUGUAAGCGCAGCGAUGCGUUGAGCUAACCGGUACUAAUGAACCGUGAGGCUUAACCUUACAACGCCAAAGAAGU
rnacentral:rRNA from 1 species